rnacentral:SRP_RNA from 1 species
CACACUUCAUAAACCUAGCUGGAGGAAGUUGGAUCGCCGAGCUCAGCAACGUGAGCUUGUAACCCGAGUGGGGGCUUUGAGGUGCUGGAACAUUGUCCCAGUAUUAGCUGGUCGGGUUCGGGUUGGCUAUCUUCUGGCUCGCCCAUUCCAAGCCAGGAGUUGAACCCUGUGGCAUGAGCGAAGGCCCUGGGUCACUGGGUUUCUAGAGUGGAGGGCACUGCGUAAGGCUGGCUUCACAGAGCAACGACUACCUCUCGCUCUUGGCAGUGGAAGGAUAACGGGUCGGUGCCAAUCGGAUCCGCCAUGGCCUGCUAGGCUGUCCCAAUUGAACCAAAACCUUUUUGCUUUUUUUAACCUCAAAGCUUGAAACGCCGUUAAAACAGC